CUAUACAAAAAAAAAAACAAAAAACAAGAGUAAAAUAAACACAGUUAAGUUAUGCCACUUGGCAGGGAGCCAACGUUGCCAUGGUCACUGGCUGCAGCUGUUACACUGGUGUGGUCACCUACAGUGACAUCUGCUGGUGCUUCCCAACAGCACUGUGAGGUCACUGUUUUUCAAACUUGAUUUCAAAGUGGGCAAUGGAACCAAUUGUAGUGGGUCCAACCAGCAUUAAAAAAAAUAAAAACAAGAAAGAAUAGAAACUAUCAGAGUACAUAACAAGUAGUAAAGGUAAAUAAAGAUAAAUACUGUUGUAUGAAUUCCUGAUUUUAAAAAUAUUCUUAUGUGUUCUGAUAUGUCUUUCUUUGUCAAAAAUCUUAGGAAGUCACCAUCCUCAGUGGGGACCUUUCUCAGACAAUCUAUUCUUCCACCGUUCUUGAGCAACCAAGAUAUUAAAAAGGAAGACUUGAAGUUUCUAUGCUGCUUGACCCAGAAGUUUCUCAUUAUGGAUGUGGGGUUCUUACUUUUGAAGCCUACUGUUUGCCCAGGGCUCAUCGAACUCUCUUUGUGUUGUCUGUGGGAAUUGGAGUUUGAAGACCUGGUGCAAGAACAUGCUGAUCCUCUGGUCACUGCUACUUCUAUGCAGAAAAAUUACUGAACAAAUCAAGUGUCUAUUCCUGAUUUCUAAAAAUUCUCAAUAAACAAGAAGUAAAAAGGAGCCUCCUCA
rnacentral:lncRNA from 13 species